GGAGCGUGGGAAGACUCCAGAAUCCACUCUGGCUGGAAUCCGGUGGAUACAGCAGUGUUACAGGUACAGUACGUGAUAUUAAGGGCAGGCGGUCAUCACUGGGGGAAGACAAGAAGCAGACGUACUUCCAAGAGGGAGCUGCAGUGAGGACACAGCCUGUCACUGAGGUCAGAGGAGGCGCUGAAAGGUUUCCCUAAUAGUUCCUGGUGAAUCAAAGCAGAACCAUAAAGGUUGCUGGACUGCAUGAUGGCCUUACCCCUGAGAAGUCAUCCUGUUAAAGGAGGAACCAGUUAGAAGCUGUUUUCAAAGUAGCUGAGCAGAUUUCAUCUCAAUAGAUCAAAGCAGCUCGUGCUCUGUCUGCUUCCAUUCUGAUGGCAAGAAGAAGAAGAAGAAGAAGACUUCAGCGAAGUGGCGUUCAUGGUCUCAGUGGACAGUCAUGGUCACACACUGCAUGUGGUUUUAAAAGCAACAUUGUUCACCACAACAAUGGAGAUGUGUAAUAUCAGUGCAGCUACGGUUUGUUCUUGAACAUCAGUUCUGUUUUCUACUUUGACCACUUAGACCAAAAAAGUGUUGUUUUCAGAUUCUUUCUUAUAAAUCUGUAAAUCACCUGUUCAUUUUUUAUUACAAUUAGUUUCACAUAAAUGUUAGUGUUUCCUUUAUGGUCUUUUAAUGCUUACACUAGACUGUACACGUCUACAUUAGAGACAUUUCUGUUACCUAUUUAUGAGACUGGGCUGCUUUACUACAAUUUGGAAAUGGAUGCAAAAUCGUUCUAUUGUUUGUUUUUUAAUAUGAUUCAAUUCAAUUCAAUAAAACUUUAUUGAUCCUGAAGGUUGACCCCGAGGGAAAUUUGGGUUAAGGCCAACACAGGACGUGUCUGACUAAGCAAAGAUUAAUCUGAUCCCAUUUCUACCUGUCUCUACUGUUUCAACUGUAACUGUCAGGAUAUAUAUUUAUUCCAGCUCUCACAGGACAAAGGAAUGACUCAGACUUGUCAAAUGUUCUUUGAUUUGAUACACAAUUUGAAGUUCACAAUUUUCUUACAAAUAAAACUUUAAUGACAAACAUGAA